rnacentral:rRNA from 1 species
GACGAACGCUGGCGGCGUGCUUAACACAUGCAAGUCGAACGGAAAGGCCCUGCUUUUGUGGGGUGCUCGAGUGGCGAACGGGUGAGUAACACGUGAGUAACCUGCCCUUGACUUUGGGAUAACUUCAGGAAACUUGGGCUAAUACCGGAUAGGAGCUACUGCUGCAUGGUGGGGGUUGGAAAGUUUCGGCGGUUGGGGAUGGACUCGCGGCUUAUCAGCUUGUUGGUGGGGUAGUGGCUUACCAAGGCUUUGACGGGUAGCCGGCCUGAGAGGGUGACCGGCCACGUUGGGACUGAAAUACGGCCCAGACUCCUACGGGAGGCAGCAGUGGGGAAUAGUGCACAAUGGGCGGAAGCCUGAUGCAGCAACGCCGCGUGCGGGAUGACGGCCUUCGGGUUGUAAACCGCUUUCGCCUGUGACGAAGCGUGAGUGACGGUAAUGGGUAAAGAAGCACCGGCUAACUACGUG